rnacentral:rRNA from 1 species
AUUGAGGAGGGCUUAACAUGCAAGUCUUAUACGCCCAAAGUUCUUCUCCGAGCUCAUAAAAGCUUAAAGGCAGAGCGGUGGCGAAGUGAAACGAGCCAUCACGCAUACAUAAAGUGAUUAUCAAGCAAAAUGUUUUGGGUGUUGAGCUUUGGAUAGUGGCGAACGGGUGAGUAACGCGUAGGCAAUCUGCCUUCUAGAUGGGGACAACAUCCCGAAAGGGGUGCUAAUACCGAAUGUUGUAAUUGGUUCGCAUGGACUAGCUACUAAAGGUGGCCUCUGAAUAUGCUACCGCUAGAAGAUGAGCCUGCGUCUGAUUAGCUAGUUGGAGGGGUAACGGCCCACCAAGGCUUCGAUCAGUAGCCGGUCUGAGAGGAUGAACGGCCACACUGGGACUGAGACACGGCCCAGACUCCUACGGGAGGCAGCAGUGGGGAAUCUUCCGCAAUGGACGAAAGUCUGACGGAGCAACGCCGCGUGAGUGAAGAAGGUUUUCGGAUCGUAAAGCUCUUUCGUUAGGGACGAACGUGCUCUUUGUGAAUAAUGAGGAGUAAUGACGGUACCUAAAUAAGAAGCCACGGCUAACUACGUGCCAGCAGCCGCGGUAAUACGUAGGUGGCAAGCGUUGUCCGGAAUUAUUGGGCGUAAAGCGCGCGCAGGCGGGAUAUCAAGUCUGUCUUAAAAGUGCGAGGCUCAACCUCGUGAGGGGACGGAAACUGGUAUUCUUGAGUGUCGGAGAGGAAAGUGGAAUUCCAAGUGUAGCGGUGAAAUGCGUAGAGAUUUGGGAAGAACACCAGUGGCGAAGGCGACUUUUCUGGGACGA